CGAUUUAGCUCAGUUGGUAGAGCAGUUCAUUCGUAAUGAAAAGGUCAAAGGUUCAAGUCCUUUAAUCGGC
rnacentral:tRNA from 1 species